AUACGUAGGGGGCGAGCGUUGUCCGGAAUGAUUGGGCGUAAAGGGCGCGUAGGCGGCCCGGUAAGUCUGGAGUGAAAGUCCUGUUUUUAAGAUGGGAAUUGCUUUGGAUACUGUCGGGCUUGAGUGCAGGAGAGGUAAGUGGAAUUCCCAGUGUAGCGGUGAAAUGCGUAGAGAUUGGGAGGAACACCAGUGGCGAAGGCGACUUACUGGACUGUAACUGACGCUGAGGCGCGAAAGUGUGGGGAGCAAACAGGAUUAGAUACCCUGGUAGUCCACACUGUAAACGAUGAAUGCUAGGUGUAGGGGGUAUCGACCCCUUCUGUGCCGCAGUCAACACAAUAAGUAAUCCACCUGGGGAGUACGGCCGCAAGGUUGAAACUUAAAGGAAUUGACGGGG
rnacentral:rRNA from 1 species